rnacentral:rRNA from 1 species
AUUGAACGCUGGCGGCAGGCCUAACACAUGCAAGUCGAGCGAGCGGCGGACGGGUGAGUAAUGUCUGGGAAACUGCCUGAUGGAGGGGGAUAUCCACUGGAAACGGUAGCUAAUACCGCAUACCAUCAGAUGUGCCCAGAGGGGAUUAGCUAGUAGGUGGGGUAAUGGCUCACCUAGGCGACGAUCCCGAGCUGGUCUGAGAGGAUGACCAGCCACACUGGAACUGAGACACGGUCCAGACUCCUACGGGAGGCAGCAGUGGGGAAUAUUGCACAAUGGGCGCAAGCCUGAUGCAGCCAUGCCGCGUGUGUGAAGAAGGCCUUCGGGUUGUAAAGCACUUUCAGCGAGGAGGCGUUACUCGCAGAAGAAGCACCGGCUAACUCCGUGCCAGCAGCCGCGGUAAUUC